rnacentral:rRNA from 1 species
GAUCAUGGCUCAGGAUGAACGCUAGCUACAGGCUUAACACAUGCAAGUCGAGGGGCAGCGGGAUUGAAGCUUGCUUCAAUUGCCGGCGACCGGCGCACGGGUGAGUAACGCGUAUCCAACCUUCCGUACACUCAGGGAUAGCCUUUCGAAGAAAGAUUAAUACCUGAUGGUAUGAUGAGAUUGCAUGGUAUCAUCAUUAAAGAAUUUAUCGGUGUACGAUGGGGAGUGCGUU